rnacentral:lncRNA from 1 species
GUUGUAUGUUAUAAUAUUUUAAACAAUAAAAUUAUAUUUGAUAUUUUAAAAAUAGUAUAUAUGUUAUUUGUGUUUGAAAAGUAUAAGAACAAAAAGAAAAAAAAAUUAAAAAAGGAGCAUCUUGUGGGUAACCUGUAUAGUGGUCCGUUGACCCACAAGUAGAUAUGGAUAAGAAUGAUGACUAUCUAAAAAUUUAUGAAUAAAUUUUAUCCGUACCCGCAUAAUUCAUGAAUAAAAUGACCUAUUC